rnacentral:rRNA from 1 species
GAUGAACGCUGGCGGCGUGCCUAAUACAUGCAAGUCGAGCGAACGGACGAGAAGCUUGCUUCUCUGAUGUUAGCGGCGGACGGGUGAGUAACACGUGGAUAACCUACCUAUAAGACUGGGAUAACUUCGGGAAACCGGAGCUAAUACCGGAUAAUAUUUUGAACCGCAUGGUUCAAAAGUGAAAGACGGUCUUGCUGUCACUUAUAGAUGGAUCCGCGCUGCAUUAGCUAGUUGGUAAGGUAACGGCUUACCAAGGCAACGAUGCAUAGCCGACCUGAGAGGGUGGUCGCCCACCCGGGAACGGAGACCCGGCCCAGACCCCUCCGGGGGGCAGCAGUAGGGAAUCUUCCGAAAUGGGCAAAAGCCUGACGGAGCAACGCCGCGGGAGUGAUGAGGGUUUUCGGAUCUAAAAACUCUGUUAUGGGGAAAAAACAUAUGUGUAAGUAACUGUGCACAUCUUGACGUACCCUAAUAAGAAACCCACGGCAAACCACGGG